rnacentral:rRNA from 1 species
CGUGCUUAACACAUGCAAGUCGAACGAUGAACCUCGCUUGCGGGGGGAUUAGUGGCGAACGGGUGAGUAACACGUGAGUAACCUGCCCUUAACUCUGGGAUAAGCCUGGGAAACUGGGUCUAAUACUGGAUAUUGACUUUUCACCGCAUGGUGGGGGGUUGAAAGCUUUUGUGGUUUUGGAUGGACUCGCGGCCUAUCAGCUUGUUGGUGAGGUAAUGGCUCACCAAGGCGACGACGGGUAGCCGGCCUGAGAGGGUGACCGGCCACACUGGGACUGAGACACGGCCCAGACUCCUACGGGAGGCAGCAGUGGGGAAUAUUGCACAAUGGGCGAAAGCCUGAUGCAGCGACGCCGCGUGAGGGAUGACGGCCUUCGGGUUGUAAACCUCUUUCAGUAGGGAACAAGGCUACACGUUGUGUGGUUGAGGGUACCUGCAGAAGAAGCGCCGGCUAACUACGUGCCAGCAGCCGCGGUAAUACGUAGGGCGCAAGCGUUAUCCGGAAUUAUUGGGCGUAAAGAGCUCGUAGGCGGUUUGUCGCGUCUGCCGUGAAAGUCCGGGGCUCAACUCCGGAUCUGCGGUGGGUACGGGCAGACUAGAGUGAUGUAGGGGAGACUGGAAUUCCUGGUGUAGCGGUGAAAUGCGCAGAUAUCAGGAGGAACACCGAUGGCGAAGGCAGGUCUCUGGGCAUUAACUGACGCUGAGGAGCGAAAGCAUGGGGAGCGAACAGGAUUAGAUACCCUGGUAGUCCAUGCCGUAAACGUUGGGCACUAGGUGUG